rnacentral:rRNA from 1 species
UACGUAGGGGGCAAGCGUUGUCCGGAUUUAUUGGGCGUAAAGCGCUCGCAGGCGGCUCGAUGCGUCGUGCGUGAAACACCCCGGCUCAACUGGGGAGGGUCGUGCGAUACGGUCGGGCUGGAGGCCAGUAGGGGGAUGCGGAAUUCCGGGUGUAGUGGUGGAAUGCGUAGAGAUCCGGAGGAACACCAGCGGCGAAGGCGGCAUCCUGGACUGGUCCUGACACUCAGGAGCGAAAGCGUGGGGAGCGAUCCGG